UACAGAGGAGCCAAGCGUUGUCCGGAUUGACUGGGCGUAAAGCGCACGCAGGCGGGUGUGCGCGUGGGGGGUGAAAUCUGGCCGCUUAACGGCCAGGCGCCAUCCCAUACGGCACGCCUGGAGUGAUGCAGAGGUCGAUGGAAUUGCCGGUGUAGUGGUGAAAUGCGUAGAGAUCGGUAGGAACACCCAGGGGGAAACCAGCCGACUGGGCAUCUGCUGACGCUGAGGUGCGAGAGCGUGGGGAGCGAACCGG
rnacentral:rRNA from 1 species